rnacentral:rRNA from 1 species
GAACGAACGCUGGCGGCAUGCCUAACACAUGCAAGUCGAACGAGACCUUCGGGUCUAGUGGCGCACGGGUGCGUAACGCGUGGGAACCUGCCCUUAGGUUCGGAAUAACUCCCCGAAAGGGGUGCUAAUACCGGAUAAUGUCUUCGGACCAAAGAUUUAUCGCCUUUGGAUGGGCCCGCGUUGGAUUAGCUAGUUGGUAGGGUAAAAGCCUACCAAGGCGACGAUCCAUAGCUGGUCUGAGAGGAUGAUCAGCCACACUGGGACUGAGACACGGCCCAGACUCCUACGGGAGGCAGCAGUGGGGAAUAUUGGACAAUGGGCGAAAGCCUGAUCCAGCAAUGCCGCGUGAGUGAUGAAGGCCUUAGGGUUGUAAAGCUCUUUUUCCCGGGAUGAUAAUGACAGUACCGGGAGAAUAAGCUCCGGCUAACUCCGUG